rnacentral:rRNA from 1 species
AUUGAACGCUGGCGGCAUGCUUUACACAUGCAAGUCGAACGGCAGCACGGGUGCUUGCACCUGGUGGCGAGUGGCGAACGGGUGAGUAAUGCACCGGAACGUAUCCAAUAAUGGGGGAUAACGCACCGAAAGGUGUGCUAAUACCGCAUACGCCCUGAGGGGGAAAGCGGGGGACCGAAAGGCCUCGCGUUACUGGAGCGGCCGAUGCCGGAUUAGCUAGUUGGUGAGGUAAAGGCUCACCAAGGCGACGAUCCGUAGCUGGUCUGAGAGGACGACAAGCCACACUGGGACUGAGACACGGCCCAGACUCCUACGGGAGGCAGCAGUGGGGAAUCUUGGACAAUGGGCGCAAGCCUGAUCCAGCCAUGCCGCGUGAGUGAAGAAGGCCUUCGGGUUGUAAAGCUCUUUCGCAAGGAAAGAAAACUCAUCUCCUAAUACGAGGUGAGGAUGACGGUACCUUGAUAAGAAGCACCGGCUAACUACGUGCCAGCCGCCGCCGUAA